UAAGAAGGAUCUUCUGCUAAUUACAUGCACGUCCUAUGCAUAACGCAGAAGUCACCACAUCCUGCGGA
rnacentral:sRNA from 1 species